UGCGCAGGCGGAUUGGUAAGUCAGUGGUGAAAUACAACAGCUUAACUGUUGCCCUGCCAUUGAUACUGUCAGUCUAGAGUAUAGUUGGAGUGGGCGGAAUGUGUCAUGUAGCGGUGAAAUGCUUAGAUAUGACACAGAACACCGAUCGCGAAGGCAGCUCACUAAACUAAAACUGACGCUCAUGCACGAAAGCGUGGGGAUCAAACAGGAUUAGAUACCCUGGUAGUCCACGCUGGUAAACGAUGAUUACUCGAUGUUGGCGAUACACAGUCAGCGUCUGAACGAAAGUAUUAAAGUAAUCCACCGUGGGGAGUACGUUCGCAAGGAUGAA
rnacentral:rRNA from 1 species